AUAUCAAUAAGCGGAGGAAAAGAAACCAACAGGGAUUGCCCUAGUAACGGCGAGUGAAGCGGCAACAGCUCAAAUUUGAAAUCUGGCUCCGGCCCGAGUUGUAAUUUGUAGAGGAUGCUUUUGGCGAGGUGCCUUCUGAGUUCCCUGGAACGGGACGCCAGAGAGGGUGAGAGCCCCGUAUAGUCGGACACCUAGCCUCUGUAAAGCUCCUUCGACGAGUCGAGUAGUUUGGGAAUGCUGCUCAAAAUGGGAGGUAUAUCUCUUCUAAAGCUAAAUAUAGGCCAGAGACCGAUAGCGCACAAGUAGAGUGAUCGAAAGAUGAAAAGCACUUUGAAAAGAGGGUUAAAUAGCACGUGAAAUUGUUGAAAGGGAAGCGCUUGUGACCAGACUUGUGCCGGGCUGAUCAUCCAGUGUUCGCACUGGUGCACUCGACCCGGCUCAGGCCAGCGUCGGUUUUCGCGUGGGGAUAAAAGCUUCGGGAACGUGGCUCCUCCGGGAGUGUUAUAGCCCGCUGCUCAAUACCCUCGCGGGGACCGAGGUUCGCGCUCUGCAAGGACGCUGGCAUAAUGGUCAUCAGCGACCCGUCUUGAAACACGGACCAAGGAGUCGAGGUUUUGCGCGAGUGUUUGGGUGUAAAACCCGCACGCGUAAUGAAAGUGAACGUAGGUGAGAGCUUCGGCGCAUCAUCGACCGAUCCUGAUGUAUUCGGAUGGAUUUGAGUAAGAGCGUAAAGCCUCGGACCCGAAAGAUGGUGAACUAUGCCUGAAUAGGGUGAAGCCAGAGGAAACUCUGGUGGAGGCUCGCAGCGGUUCUGACGUGCAAAUCGAUCGUCAAAUUUGGGCAUGGGGGCGAAAGACUAAUCGAACCAUCUAGUAGCUGGUU
rnacentral:rRNA from 1 species